CCAUGGCAACCCGCCAAAUAAUGUUUCCUUACAAAAAGCUGGUUAGAAAUAAACCAUCGGCCGGCCGUAAAGAAAAGCUUGUGCGUGUGGACAACAACACGGAGACAACAUGAUGCCGUGGGGAAGGUCUCGCAUCGCGACAGCCACUCCAAAACACUUGGUGGGUGCGUUCGCGCCGUUUCCGCGCUCCACGUGGAUCCACGCUGACGUCCCGCGGGACAACUACGACCGCAUCUGCGAAAAAAUCUGGAGAGCAGCAAACGAGGCCGAGGAGGAGUUUGGCAGAGGAGCAAGUCCACCAGAGAGGCAGAGGGAUGAAGAGGGCAGGAGAGUAGACGACACACCAACUCAUCGGGCCAAGGAGCAGCAGAAGGAGGCAGAUGACUUUGGUCUGAGCACACGCUACGAGGAGGACGCGCAGCGGCACCACACAGCCUUCGCACUUCCUUGCCCCCGUCUCUCGGGCCACAGACCUCCCCCUGUGGCCGAGCCUGCACGGGAACUGAAGCCUGUGAUGGAAAAAGAGAUGAAACGAGCCAGGGAGGCGAGAGGGAACGCGGGUUUGUCACGUCGGGAGGAAGAAGCGGGAGACGGACAAACUAGCGUGUCAAAUGACGUUAAGGGGAUCAUUGUCCCGGAAUCCACCGGCAGAGAAAACAGCUCUGAACCUCAACCUCAACCUCCGGCGCCGGAUCCAGUCUGCUCUGCCACUGCGGACCGAACCCUGCGCCUGGAGGAUGAUGAAGAUCCUCAGCAUGCUGCAUGCGAAAGCAGAGAUGGCGAGAAUACAACUAGCAGUUGCGACAGUGAUUCCAGCGAUGAUGAUGAUGAUGAUGAUUUUGUAAGCCUACCUGGGGCGAGAAGUUAUGCCACAGAUAACAGUCGUGGUGAAUCAGAGAGUGAAAACGACAGUGACGGAGAGAUAAGUGAGAUGUUGCGCUCACUUGAAGGAGCAUGUUCCAACAGCGAGCAGGAUUCCCUGUGUUCUUUCACAGCGGAAGACUUUCCACUCCUAUCUGCCACAAAGGCUGGCAACCCACCACGUCCCACGGAGCCCCCAGCCUGGGGGAAGAUGAAGAGCCACUGGGAGAUUCCCCUUUCAGCCUGGCCAUGCGACUUCCCCGCUGCCACUUUGGCAAGCUGCGUGACCGGCCGUGCCCAUGCUCCGGUCCGAGGCAAAGCCGGAGCACCUGAGGCGAGCUCGCUGAGCAACGCACCAGCAGCCCCAGAGGAGCAGCCUUACAACCUGCUGGCUGACUUCCCAGCCCUGCAGCCCUCAAAGAAACCUUUAGCACUGGGUGUGUGGCGUGAUGGGAAUCCAGAGACCAAGGUUGCGGAGGGGAACAGAGGGCACGCUCGCACAAAAAUCCAAUGCCAAGGAAGAGGGGGUUCCUGUCGGAGGAAAAUUCAAAUUGUUCCCCUCGAGGUCCCCUCCGUCUGCACACGAGAUCAAAAAUCCGUAGGCAAUUCUCCCACCGUCAGCGGCGAGGAACUGAAGGCCAGCAACCAGCCGACUCCUAGAGCAGUUUGCAGCGUCAUAACACAGCCCUGUGGAUUUAGCGGCACUGAGUCGAUCCCUCGAGGGGGCGCGGCCCAAAGAAUUCCCUUGCUGGGUACAGAUGGCGUGGACACCAAUGCCAGGUCCUGGGCCAGCGUUGCCAAGAUGGGCCUGGAGUAAGCAGCUGCCCCCCCGGAAGAAAGCCAGACCUUGUACCCUUCAGCAGAUAGUUACCGUUAACAUAGCCAAAGGCCGAGGGAACGAGGGCUGAACUCGGCCUCAUGUGGCGUCAGCGUCAAUUGUGUUUGUGCAAGACACUACCCGAUAACGACGUCUCGCUAGACUUUGUUAUUUCCCCCUGUUACCAGCCUAACAAAUGUGUGCAUCGCCCGAGUGUUGUCAACUUUUUUUGCUUAAUCUACUGCUUCUACGGGACUGAACCAGUGAGAGAUUCAUCAAGUGAGGCGGAGGCAAAGGACACAGCGGACACCAGUCGGUGCUUGAGCUCAUUAGUGAGCGUAUGCAUGCUCUGCACACACACACACACACAAGUGAGGUCCCAAAUAAAAAAUGCAAACUAUACGCACUUUGCAAAUGAAUAGAGUGAUGCGUAGUAAUAACAAAAUCUCAUUGUACUUUUGUGAUAGUGAAAUGGCGAUUAUUCAACAGUGCAGUCCUUUUUUUCGCCAGCGGACCUUCUCAUACAUAAUGCAUCCAAAUCAUUGCAUUUUUCCUCCAUUCGGGGCUACAAUGCAUAUUUCAUCAAGCCAGUGAAAUAUUAAGCACCCUUACGAUUUGAUAUUCUCUUCUAAAGGGGAUUUCAGUUCAUAUAUUUCCUUCACAUCACUCGUGUCUCCUCUGGGACCAAACUUCCGGGGGAUGUCUUUAUUUGGCUAUAUGUUUGUUCAUUGGAGAGACGUUUGAUUGGUUGAUGCUGGAGCGAUGAUCAAUGAGCCAACCAAUCAAUUCCAGAGAUUAUCAAGGCUCAGAGGCCAUUGAUCUAUAAGUGGGCCUAGCGCUGAAUGGCAGGUUGGCCUCACGCCAACUGAUUUGAUUGAAAUUAGAGAGUCUCAAACUGUGCAGCUUCUCUGCCUCAAAUGUCCACUGUUAUUUAGGUGGAGAGAUAUUGGAGAGACAGGUGAGUAAGGAGCAUCACCACAAGAAUGUGAAAGCAAAGGUCUGCUUUUUACCCUUGAAUGAAUCAAUUACAACUAAUUACUUGAGGAGUUUCACCGCUUUUAAUUUGUUGGUGCCGUAUUGUCACAAAAUUAUCUUGGGUUAUCUAAAAACUUUUUAUCUAAAUGUCAAAUCUAUAUAAAAGUUUCAGAGGAUGUUGGAUGGAUGGUGCAAUUGUGACAUUUGUGUUAAACACUUUUGUCAUUUAAGAAGAAAUCACCCUCAAGGCAACUGAACAAGUCAUGUUACUUUUAGAACUGUGCAGCAGAGAGAAGGGAUUUCAGGGAUCCUGCCUACCGCAAUGCUUACUUGCAAGUAAUAAGACUAUUUAACAUGACACAUGUGAUCAUCUCUGAGGCCGGAUUUCAUCGGUGGAACAUGUUGAACUAGCGAGUCUUCCUGCUGUCCCCGACAAUGGUGGUCCUUUGCACCCACGUAGGGUAGGGGCCACUGGUGAUAACGCAGCUGAGUGCACCUCUGAUCCCGAGGCGUCGCCCUGCGCCCGGACACAGUGGGGCGUCAACAGUCUGCACACAUUGUGUACGGCUAACAGCUAACCGAACCACCACUACACACACACACACACACACACACAGCUGACCACCUGUUGUCGUCCGCUGCCCCGCCGCCCCCUCUCUCUGAGUUUCAAGAACGCAUUUUUAACCAGCGGAACAAAUGUCUGACACGUUUCGUCGACCUCGUUGUGUCAAUUAAGCUGUAAACUAAUCUCCAUAAUAAAAUGUGUACUUUCGUAGCGAGCGCCUGACAAAUUGUGUUCCGUCUUGGCAAUAUCCAUUUCAUUAAGGUGAUACUGGUAUUUGAAUACAAACAAGGCUGCAGUUGUCUCACAACUCGGGUUGCCAGCGUGGCAGGUGUUCAAAUUGACGACGUCGGGCCAGCUGGAGCCGAUAUGAGUACCAACAAAAAACGGCGCGACUGGAGCAGUUUCACAAACUCUGCACGAGUCUGAACCGUUCCCUUUCUGGCGAUAUGCAAUAAAGAGGGUUAAGGGCGUUGGCACAUUUGUAUUAUUCUAAAAUAAAACCUAAUAUUACUCCUGCGGGAAUCACAGAACACGGAACCUGGAGGGAUGCUCCUUAUUAAAGGUGAUACUCAGAGCAUAUCCACAUAGAUUGAGGGAUUUCCUUCACACGCUAUGACGCUUUCAGCACUUUUUAUGUCAGAUUGCGACAGUGAUGCCGUUGGUUUUUCAAAAUGAACUUCAAACAUCUACUUAGUUGAGUAUUCUCUCGAGCGGGCUUGGAUGGACAGGAUACUACUACUACUACUACUAGAAUGCUACCCAAGUUCAUUAGGUCAAUCCAUUCCAAAUGCGGUGACUUCGGGUCAUUGUUUGCAACAAAUUCAGGACUUUGUUUCAAAAGAACGCUGUUAAAACUGAAAGUAUUCGAUCUCGUCGGUUUUUAGGUGUGUUUCUAGGUCGAGGAAAAGAAAGGCCUUGACGUCCACAAACUAUAUAAGCAAAGCACAGCAACACUCAAAUUAGAGGGAAUUAGAUUAGUAUGUUCUGCUUUAAAUGCUCAUAAUUUUAAAUGUUGCACAUUUAAGCCCAAGCCCGCCGAUAUUGUCCACCAAGCGUUUGUUUGAUGAAAUGCACCUUAUGUAUUUCUGUAAUUCAAGCACCUUGUUGACUUUUGAUAUCACAGCAGUUCUCUCUCUCUCUCUCUCUCUCUCUCUCUCUCUCUCUCUCUCAAGAGUGCUUUGCAUUCGGACGCCUAAUGAGCUAAUAUGCUAAUAAGCACGCAUGCAAGCUCUCAGCUAAUUUUC
ensembl:lncRNA